rnacentral:lncRNA from 1 species
GCCCAAUGCAUUGGCUACCUGCAGACUUGAAGGUGUCAAGUACCAAAAUUCACUUUAACAGCAGUUACGGUCCCCAAAACUACCGUCAAAUAAUAAAAAGGCCUACUUCCUGUAUUUUAGCUAGCUAGAACAAGGCCUAAUUACUGUAAAUUUAGUUAGCUGGCUAAAGUACAGUAAAUAGGGCUUGUUCUAGCUAGCUAAAUUACAGUAGGUAGCCUGCUAACGAUCAUGGAAGACGGUGAAAGGAUUCGCUAGCAGUUCUAGAUGUCAGAGAAGGGAGAGCAGGCUACUCUGGAUAGAGCAGAGAGCCAUGGGACCUCUUCAUCUGCAGGCAGUUUCAAUCAAUGUCCCAAGAGAAUAAGGGAGAUCAGCCAUGUGGGGGGCGGCAGGUAGCGGUUAGAGCGCUGGGCCAGUAACCGAAAGGUUGCUUGAUCGAAUCCCCGAGCUGACAAGUGACGCCGAAUUAUAAUCACCGCAACCAGAAAGGCAGCCUCACCCCGACUCCACUAUCCUGUCUGCCCGGUGAAUGAAGAAUCCAUCGAGUUAGAUAGCCGUGGGGGGCAUAUUGUCUGAGAGCCACGUUUCUGAAAAGCAAGGAACAUUGCAAUAGUUGGGCCAUAAGAAAUACUUUUUAUUCAAUGGGGCUAGGCAAAGCAAAGAUGACAGAAUACUUGUCUUUUCACUUAGACAACAAUAUAGCUUGAAGUACAGUAUGUUUACAAUAUCAACAAGUCUUUUAAACGUUCCAAAUUACAUUAUAUUCAUACAGUGUAAGGGGGCACUUUUGUCAUGACAAGGUGCUCUACUCAAUUGACAACAGAAUAAUUGUCCAAAGCACAGCAUAUGACAACCAUGUCAUAUAACUGAGGGAUGUCUUCUUUCAUGUCUGGAAAAAGAUGAAGAAGUAGUAGAAACUGAUGCUGCUGCAGCAUUACCCAUCUUCACAGGGGGAAUCCAGUCAACAUGGGUGUCUUGAUAUAGGUCAGCUGGUGAACCUACAGUACAUCAACAAAUGAGAAGCACACCUGACGUUAGAAUAUCAAAUCUUCAGGUCACCUAUACCAUCGCGGCUCUUAAGUGUUUGGUUGUGUUUAAUUCAUUCAGGUGUUUUAGUGUCAUAAAGAUUAAAUAUAUUGUUGGGCUGGAACAACUAUUACCAUUGGUUGCUCCAGCCUUUUUGAGGCCUUUGUCCUAUGCGGUAAUGUCCAUACAUUUUCCCUCAUUUUAUGAAUAAAGUUAUAAAAUUAUCAUUGGAUUAUCAUUUUUUGAACAAUAAUUUCCUUCAGAAUAUAUGGACGUCAUAUUGUACAAUUUGUGUCUACCCUUUUCAUGGUCAUGGCAAGAAGGGAACCAGCUUUUGUAAAAUGAACGUAAUAUUUUACAUUUCAUAGCCGAUACUGAGAAUUUAAGCAGCAGGUUAGAAGAAUUAGGUUAAGGCUGUGAAAAAAGUUAAGGUUAGCUAAAAAACAAAAUAAAACUUUUUAUGUAAAUUUGAGAAAAGCUGGAUCCCUUUAAGCAAAGACCCCUUUUCGGCCUAGAUUACAUGGUUGUUUUCAAGACAAGGUCGUUCUAAUUGAUCUGCUGUCAGUAGAGUAGGCCUAGACUACCAUCGUAUUAAAAAAGAUUAUGUUAAUAUCUCCAGUGAUAUAAAGUGUAGUAGAAUUGCAUUUAAUGUUAUCAAAGGCCACAUUUUUCCCGUGCAAAGGAAAGAAACGUCUCUGAUAUAGGAUAUAAACCUAUGCCGCUACGCGUUUAUUAACAGCCUAAAUUAUCACUAUCAAAUCUACUCAUCACAUUAAGAAUAGUAGGUUCACAUUUGCCCGCAAAUGCGAUGAUAGAGGCAUGUAAUGCUUUGUUAUAAGGGGCAUUUAUGGUGAGAAAAAAAAAUGGAUUCCCAAAACUUGAAACCCACGCGAUACAUGCUAAAAGCUAGACUACAAGCUAUCGAGCUAACUCACUUAGUGUUGUUAACGCCUGGUUAGCAUACCAGUGAAACUAAACUCAAAAUCGAUAAGACUUGACCUUCCAAUGAUGAAAUGAUCGUAGCAAACCCUGUAUUGAAAGCAGUCUGGGUUGAGGUCUUGACGGGCAAAAAGGUUUCUUCGCUUUUCUGAGUUCUUGAGUCUUAUCUCAUUGGUAUUGCCAAUGGUGUUUCAUGAUUGCGGGGAAUCUGUAAACAUCUUUUCCGGCCUUGUUUGAGGAGCCAUAUACUCCACAGAAAAUGACCGUGGUGAUGAAUCCACUAGUUCUAGUCACUUUUAUCAUUCAGUUUGGGGUAGCCCCUCGGCUGUUUUCAGAAUAAUUAAUGCAGUGGUCUUCCAACAUGGCCGCCAGGAGGCGUUCUACGUCAACUGAAAGCUCUCCAGGGUUGCCA